rnacentral:lncRNA from 1 species
CUCACACACCUCAGGACACACACCUCAGGACACACACACACAACCCCUCACACACCUCAGGACACAACACCUCAUACACCUCAGGACACACACACAACACCUCACACACCUCAGGACACACACACAACUCUCACACACCUCAGGACACACACACAACCCUCACACACCUCAGGACACAUAUACAGCCUCUCACACAUCUCAGGACACACACACAACCCCUCACACACCUCAGGACCCACAUUCCCACGGUUAGAAUGACGUGCAGGGACAAAAAGUGCCUCGUUUCCUCUUUGUGGUAGUUUCUUCAUUCAUUC